rnacentral:misc_RNA from 1 species
GAUGAAGAACGCAGCGAAAUGCGAUAAGUAAUGUGAAUUGCAGAAUUCAGUGAACCAUCGAAUCUUUGAACGCACAUUGCGCCCGCCAGUAUUCUGGCGAGCAUGCCUGUUCGAGCGUCAUUUCAACCAUCAAGCCCCAGGCUUGUGUUGGAGCCCUGCGGCUGCCGCAGCCUCCCAAAACCAGUGGCGGGCUCGCUAUCACACCGAGUGCAGUAGUUUACUCUUCGCUCAGGGCGUGUGGCGGGUGCUAGCCGUGAAACCCCCAACUUCUCAAGGUUGACCUCGGAUCAGGUAGGAAUACCCGCUGAACUUAAGCAUAUCAAUAAGCGGAGGA